CCGAUCCUUCCCACCGCCUUCAAAGAUCUGUAUCCGUCUUCUACCUUCCGGAUCUUUCCCCUUGCGUCCUUAUCUUCGAAAUUUCAGAUGAGCAUCCAAACCUUCCGUUCUCUUUCUUCCUUCGGAGGUGCUAGAGAAGGUUUCGUCUGGUGUGUCUUCUUCAACCUCCUGACCCCAGCCCUCCACGAUUAGGGGCAGUGGUUCGGUUUAGAAUCUAUAUGGUAGGUUUAUUCCACUCCCCUAAGUCGAUUUUCGGACUCCAUCACUGCCAUCAGCCACAGCCAUAGAUGGUUUGUUCCACUCCCCAAAGUCGAUUUUCGGACUCCAUCACUGCCAUCUUCUCAUCUUCGACACCGUCUUCAGGGAAGAGACGAAGGGGUAGACCUCCCGGUUGUGGAAAUAAAUAACAGCUUGAUGCUUCAUGUAGUUGGUAUAUGCUUAUAUACAUACCCAUUCAGAUCAUACUCAUACGUAGAUUCAAUUAUUUAUUCAUUGUUUUCAUCAACACUUUAUUCACGUUUUGCAUAUUAUAUUACCCGUUCAGAUCCUUAUUUUAUUAGCUUUGUGAUUAAGUUGAUAGAUUCUGAUGAAAUCAUGAAUGUGCACAUAUUAAAAUAACAUCAGAGGAUGAUGCUAGACUGUAUAUUUCACAUUUUCUUUGUGUUUUUCUUCUAUAUUCUUCUUUAGCCUAAAUGGGGUUUUCUUCUAUGUAUCUAAUUUUCACAGGAAUUUGAAACUAAUAUUCAUGCACACCACCUGCUCGAUAAAAUGCCUGAACCGAAUCUUAUUAUUUUUUCGUUUUUAAAAGCCCAUAAAAUUUUCCACGCCUGCUUCUUAGUUGCUGCAUAUCUCUAAAACGCUAAUGUUCCAGCCUGUAUAAUUUAUUAAAGAAUUUAAUACUUUUUUCAAAAUGACUUGAUUAUUUUGCAAAAUGACAUCAUAAUUUGGUCAAAAAAAGAGAACAAUUGUACAAUAAAAUUGUUAGAAAUGUUUUUUUCCUUCAAAUUCUUUUUGAGGUGAACAUAUUUAUUAUUAGUACUUCAGGUAUAUGCUAUCAUUUUCAGUUGGUUCUGGCCUUUUUCCUUCUCUGUUAUCUCCAAAGAUUUUUUUCCUCGAGCUUUAGAGCAAAAGCAAUUGCCUUAUCACCUAAAAUGCAUUGGGUAAGUUUAUGUCAUUUUUAUUCUUUAGAAAUAUGAUCAUUUUUACUAACAAAUGGUGAUAUUUUUAAUGAUCAGAUAUCAAACAUUGUAGUCGGGUUGUAUUUCUUGAGUGUGGUGACUAAAUUUGGGAUAAGAAAAGUGUACAUGGGAUAUGUGAGACUCAUAAGAAGAUAUGAAUUAGAUUUUAUUACCUUCUAUUUGCUGAAACAUAUUGUCUACUUUGUUUUCUGCUUAAUAAGCUUGAAAUUUUGGCAUUGCAGUUCACCUCCAAUGUUGUCAUACUAAAAAUUAUAAUGUUUAUGAUAUGUUACCAUAUUGGCUACAGAACCCAAUUUCAUGAGGCAUCGAUUCAUCUAUUUUCUUCUCCUAUACUCCUAAUUUCACCAGGUUUGUCACAAAAAACUACUGGAAAUUGUCACCAUUGGAAGUAUCUAUUUGUCAGUCCUUAUUAUUUAGUAUUUAAUUUAAUUUUUAUGUUAUUUAUGAAUUAAGAUUAUACAGUUAUAAUUGUUUUAAAAAAAAAAGAAUAGAUAAUUUGUUUCAUUUUUGUAUGGAGUUUUUUUUUUUUUUUCAGAUCUUCAUCUUAUAAAACAGCCGCUAUAUGGUUCUUCAAGGUAUGAGAACCCCAAGAUUGUUCUAUAAAACAAUUUAAUAAUCGUUAUUUUCUUCUUCUCUUCAUUACUAGCAAGGAAAGGACAUACUUUGCAGCCAUUAUGACAAAGAUUGUUCUAUAAACAGUUGUUUAACCUUCUUUGAAGGUCACCAAAUGGAUAAAGAUAUGAUUCGUUUGAACUUUCAGGACAGAAGCAGCAACAAACAUUCCAAGCCAAAGAAGGUUGAAGGCAUGAACAGAAAUAAGAUUUUAGUUAUCCCUUAAGUUGUGAAAUGCAUUACUAAUAUCGGACACUUUUCCAAACCUACACCAUCUCCCUCUUCUAUCUCUUUUGUUUUUUUUUUUUAAUCUUUUUGGUUAUUUGUUUCUCAUAUUCCCUGCCCUAAUCUUGCAAUUUUAUAAAAAUUGAUAGCCCUCUUGCGGUACAAAUAUGCCAAAAUACACGUCAAAUCGACCAGGUAAAUCCCACCGACACCGACUUCCAAAAUUGCAGCUUUAGGUUAGACUUCCAAACCAGAGGUGACAUACUAUUAUUUUUAUGUCAUUAUUUUGCUUUAUCUGUAACAUUUUUCAGAUGUAUUUUGAAGCACCCUACAAAUAUGGCUACUCCAUUCAACACAACAGUUGUGGAAAGGUUUUUUUUUUUACUCUAGGACUACGAAUCGCUAGACUUUCAACAAUUGAUUCGACACAACGAUAGUAUCAAGGGAUAGAAAAAGGACAAGCAGGUCGCAGGAUGGAGAUAUUAUAAAUAUUAAUGUCACCGUUUACUUAGAUGUUACUGAACAAUGCUUAGAGAGAGGUAUUUCUGUUUGCAAAGAUGUUUCUAUAUUGAUGACACGUGUGCGUUGCUAUUACAACAGAUUUCGCCACAUGGGCAACAACAGAUAUUGUUCGAUGCCUAAUCUUCAACUAAGAAUCAGGGCUUAUGGAUCUAAGAAAGCCGACAAUUGAACUUAUUAACAUACUGUAACACACUAAUCAACAAAUUGAUUUUUUUUGUUUGCUGUGGUGACUUUGCUUUUAUUAGAUACGUGUGUUGUCAUUUUAUCAAAUGUUUUUUGAGCUAGCCAAUGUUAUACUUAGACAACACUUAAUGAGGAAAAAACCAUGAAGUAUUUGAUUUGUGGAA